rnacentral:rRNA from 1 species
UACGAAGGGAGCUAGCGUUAUUCGGAAUAACUGGGCGUAAAGCGCAUGUAGGCGGAACUACAAGUCAGAGGUGAAAUCCCGGGGCUCAACCCCGGAAUUGCCUUUGAAACUGUAGUUCUUGAGUGUAACAGAGGAUGGUGGAAUUUUCAGUGUAGAGGUGAAAUUCGUAGAUAUUGAAAAGAACACCGGUGGCGAAGGCGACCAUCUGGGUUACAACUGACGCUGAGAUGCGAAAGCGUGGGGAGCGAACGGG